CGUCGCGACUCUGCUGUGCGUCGCGGUAGCCGCCGGACGGCACCCAUGGCGGCCUUGCGAUACCCGAGGAGGGCCCUCCAUCCUCUCUGCCGCGCCUUCUCCGGCGGCGGCUGCCAGCUCGCCCCCGAGCGCGGCGGUGAGCGCAGGGAUGCCGCGCCGAGCCGGGUCUCAAGGUUCUGCCCUCCAAGAAAAUCUUGCCAUGAUUGGAUAGGACCCCCAGAUAAAUAUUCAAACCUUCGACCUGUUCACUUCUACAUCCCUGAAAAUGAAUCACCAUUGGAACAAAAGUUAAGAGAAUUAAGACAAGAAACACAAGAAUGGAACCAACAGUUCUGGGCAAACCAGAAUUUGACUUUUCUUAAGGAAAAAGAAAAAUUUAUUGACUCAAGACUAAAAGCCAAAGGCCUGGAACUGAGAGCUGAAUCAGGUCAAAAAGCAACAUUGAAUGCAGAAGAAAUGGCUGACUUUUACAAGGAAUUUUUAAGUAAAAAUUUUCAGAAGCACAUGUAUUACAACAGGUAGAAGUUGCUAUCAACUUAGUUUUUGCACUUUUAAAUAAAAUUGACAGCUUAAAGUUAUUUGCAUGGCAGCCCUAAAGCAGCUUGCACCCCUAGUGCGUAGACAGUGGGUUCUACACAGCACUUCCCACUGAAAGGAACCUGGACUCCAUUGAGAAGCACAGUCUGGGGCAGGAGCAGCACAGAGGAGUCGAGACAUCUUGUGUUUGAAAGUGAGGAAGCCCGGAGCCCAGCGGGGUCAUGUGAGAACAGCACAGAAGGCGACUUGAGGGGCUCCCGUAGGCCAGAGACGAAGCCAUUGCAGCCACACAAAGAAAAUGACGGCUGUGGAUUAAAAAUCUAUCAGAUAUACUAACAUCUUUGCGAUCAUAAUGACACUGAGCGGCUCACAGGCACCGCGGGGUAUUGCUGGGCAGCCAACCCAUUGUUCUGAAAGUCGAUGCGUGAAGGAGCGCCUCCGAAGAGCACUCACCUCUCCUGCCUUUCCUGCACCCACUGGAUUCCAGGGUAGCCAAGCGAAGGAGCAUUUUUCUUGGUAGAAGAAUGACAGCUAACGCAGGAGCGCUGGAGUUAGAUCUGGGCCUGAUCGCCCCACAGCUGCUAAACCGCUGGGCAGCAAGGCUGACGGGGACUUCAUAAUGGAUAGGUCGGGCUGAUCGCACCUGAGCCCUGGUACCUCUUCACACUGUGCAGAGUGGAGCAGCGGCCUGCGUGCGUCUCUGUGAGGUGCGGCAGGAGGGACUGGUACAAGCGUAAUUUUGCCAUCACCUUCUUCAUGGGAAAAGUGGCUCUGGAGAGGAUUUGGAACAAGCUUAGACUGAAACGAAAGAAGACCA